AAAUCUGUUGUAAAUAGUUAUUAUUUAGUGGACAUUUUUGUAAUUAGCCGACUAGGGUUGUUAUUGUAAUUUAUAUCAUGGCUUCAUCUCUAUAUAAGAGAUGGUUUCCUACUCAAUAAUACAUACAUAUUCUCUCAUUCUCUUGGUUGUUUCUGUCACAUCCCGGGACCCGCUCCGCCGUAACACGAUAUUGUCCGCUUUGGGCCCACCGGCCCUCACGGUUUUGUUUCCGGCAGCUCAGGAGCAACUUCCCAGUAGGUCACCCAUCCUGGGAUUGCUCUCGCAUCGACAUGCUUAACCUCGGAGUACCCAUCCCCUCCGAAGCCGCUGAGCCACCAAAAGGCCUCGUAUUAGAUUAGAGGUGGGCAUGUACAUAUACAGCACAUAACCCCUCUCCGUUUGGCCGAUGUGGGAUAUUACAAUCCACCCCCCUUGGGAGUCCGACGCCCUCGUCGGCACACUCGCACCACACGGCAGAGUGGCUCUGAUACCAUUUGUCACAUCCCGGGACCCGCUCCGCCGUAACACGAUAUUGUCCGCUUUGGGCCCACCGGCCCUCACGGUUUUGUUUCCGGCAGCUCAGGAGCAACUUCCCAGUAGGUCACCCAUCCUGGGAUUGCUCUCGCAUCGACAUGCUUAACCUCGGAGUACCCAUCCCCUCCGAAGCCGCUGAGCCACCAAAAGGCCUCGUAUUAGAUUAGAGGUGGGCAUGUACAUAUACAGCACAUAACCCCUCUCCGUUUGGCCGAUGUGGGAUAUUACAGUUUCUCUCCUUUCUCAAUCUAUUCUUUUUGUUUUACAACACGUUAUCAGCACGAAUAGUUUUAACAUUAUCUUGUUUUUUAUUGCAUGUGAAGCUCUAAAAGCAAACGAUGAUCUUUCAAUUUGAUUGAUCGAAUUCGCUCUACAUUGACAUAGAAAGCUCUAAAAUCGAUGAUCAACCAUAUGAGGAUCAUUAUCUAACCAAGUUCUUGGAUUGGCUGAGUAACUCCACAAACGGCAUUCUCAGUGCUACACAUAAAAGAUGGAGAUUAUCCGUUCUGCAAUGAGUAACGUUUUCUUAUCUUAAUUCCAAUUCAUAUUUGCUAGCCUUGAUUAUAUGAUGAACAAAUUCACAUCGGGUGAGAUGUUCGGUCUAGGGCAUUUAGCCAAGUACAAUAAUGUGCCUAUUGUACUUAGAUAUGAGUUUUCUGGUCCCAAUAUCUCUUCAUUAUCAUCUACACGAUGAUACGAGUCUCACUAGACUUUAGACGAUUAUGAGUGAGCUUGAAGACUUUGCUUUAUCCUCAUUAAAGCAUCUUAACAUCUUCUAGAUGUAAUUUGAUUGAUGUACCAAAAUUCCAUUUGCACUUUACACGGCUUCAGGUCGAGAAAAUGAUUUGGUCUCUGAAAGUCUUUUUAUCUCAAACUCCGACUUCAGGUGUUUUAUGGUUUUCUUGAUCUCUUCAAGAGUAUCAAUCAAAUUCAUGCUAUUGACGUAGAUCACCAAAAAUUGCAAACCCGAAGUUUAUUUUCUUAAUAAACACGCAUGGGCAUAGUCCAUUGUUCAUAUAUCCCAUCCCAAGCAAAUAUUCACUUAGACAGUUAGACGGUUAUACCAACUCUGUCUGGAUUGUUUGAACCCCUAAAGUGAACUACUCUAGCAAAUGGAGAGCAUGUUCUGUGGUCUAGAACUAUUUGCAUUGGGUAACAGAAGUCCUUCAGGAACCUUCAUGUAUAUCUCUAUAUUCAGAUCCUCAUAGAGAUAAGUUGUUACCA
rnacentral:lncRNA from 1 species